rnacentral:misc_RNA from 1 species
CACACGUAUUCUUCGCCACUUUCCUUUUAUAUUUCAGGUCCAUUUUCAACCUUCUUCCAAUAGCUAGACAGAGAAACAAAGAAAGAUGGCAAAUCUUAACGUGCUUUUACCUAUUCUGAUGAUUCUGCUCACUGUUUCUUCAGAGAUAAAAGUGAUUGAAUGUGAACGAAUUUUUACCAUGAUAAACUACUGCAAAGAGACAAUAUGGCCUGCAAUCUUCCCAGGUAGUAAUUUCAACGGAGGUGGAUUUGUAUUGAGAUCAGGUCAAGCCAUUGUGUUCGAGGCCCCAGUGGCUUGGGAUGGCCGGAUAUGGGCUCGAACCGGUUGUAAUUUUGACAAAAAUGGUAAUGGAUCAUGUCAAACCGGGGCAUGUGGCACAUCACUCAAGUGUGGGGCUUCAGGUCAAACCCCUGCUUCACUAGCUGAAUUCAAUCUUCCAGGAGGACUGGAUUUCUAUGAUGUUAGCCUUGUGGAUGGGUUUAAUGUGCCAAUAGUUGUUACACCAAUUAAUGGCAAAGGAAAUUGCAGUAUUGCUGGUUGUGAUAUGGAUCUAAGGUCCAGUUGCCCAUCCGAGCUCGCCGUGAAAUCUAACGGAAAGGUUAUCGCUUGCCGGAGUGCUUGUGAUGUGUUCAAUACUGACGAGUAUUGCUGUAGAGGAGUCUAUGGGAAUCCUGUAACAUGUAAGCCUACAUUUUAUUCCAAGAAGUUCAAGGAAGCUUGCCCUACUGCUUAUAGUUAUGCAUAUGAUGAUCCCACCAGCAUUUUUACCUGCUCUGGAACUGAUUAUAUCGUCAGCUUCUGUGCAUUUAGGAAUCAACAAUCUUGCACGUAUCAUGAUCACAAGCUUGUUUGCGGUGGUGGGUCUCGUUCUCAAGGAUUAAAAUUGUCGAUUGGAAGAUGGUGGCCUCUGAUGCUUGCUCUGCCAUUAAUGGUUAAUUGGUGGAUUGUAUAGUAUUUAACACACAUCUUUUGGUUUUUGAUUAAGCAGAGCCUAGUGCUUCUCAUUCUUUGAUGAUUAAGAUUGCCUUUUACUACUUGUGAAAUGAUAUGCUCUUCUCUUUUCCAGAGAAGUGUCUAAUUCAAUUUUAAAAUAAUUAAUAAAAUUAUCAUAAACAAAUUAAAUUUUCAAAUUU